rnacentral:rRNA from 1 species
GACGAACGCUGGCGGCGUGCUUAACACAUGCAAGUCGAGCGGGGUCCAUCCGGUGGCAACACCGGUGAAGACCUAGCGGCGAACGGGUGAGUUACACGUGAGUAACCUGCCCCGAAGUUCGGGAUAACACCGGGAAACCGGUGCUAAUACCGGAUACCCCCAACUGGUCGCAUGGCCGGAUGAGGAAAGAUUUAUCGCUUCGGGAGGGGCUCGCGGGCUAUCAGCUUGUUGGUGGGGUAACGGCCUACCAAGGCGACGACGGCUAGCUGGUCUGAGAGGACGACCAGCCACACUGGGACUGAGACACGGCCCAGACUCCUACGGGAGGCAGCAGUGGGGAAUCUUGCGCAAUGGGCGAAAGCCUGACGCAGCAACGCCGCGUGGGGAUGAAUGUCUUCGGAUUGUAAACCCCUUUCAGCAGGGACGAAACUGACGGUACCUGCAGAAGAAGCCCCGGCCAACUACGUGCCAGCCG